CACAUUCAUCAACAUUCCUAUUACAAUGUGCUCCCAUGAGUUCUUAGUACCCAAAAUUGAUUCUGUAUUAUUUAAUGUUGGGAGUUUUCUAUUUUAUUUUUUUGUUAUAGCACACCAAUUAUUUCAUUUACUAAGAAUUUUGUUUGUUUUAUGUACUUGUGUAUAUAAUGUAUAUGAUUUCAUGUUAUCUGUUCUUAUAAUCUUGUCAACUGAUAUGUUGCUGACUGAAUUCUAAAAUGUCAUUUUUAAUUAGUAUCUUUUAAAUAGUAUCUAAAGUCUCAGUUAAAAAAAAAAAAAUGGUUUGUCUCUGUAAGAGUUGAAAAGCAACACUAAAAUAUUUUUGGAGUAAUAUGCUAUUGUACUCAACCUCAUUCCUGUCUCUGCAUUGCCUGCCUGUUGCCUUUUACUUUCAAAGCUGGUGGUACAGGUAAACACUUCAAAGAUUGAGGAAGAGGAUGCACUUGAGCUCCCCUCAAAGCACUUUAGAGAGGAAGUACAACUGACUCAUCAGUGAAAUUGUCUAUACAGCAAAUGCUGGUGGGAGCCGUAACACUUAGUGUAAGGACUCUGUUGUAGGCUGGAUGAAGAAGAUGACAACAAUAAACAGGACAACUGGUGCUCUCCCCACUUCCCUGGUUGCACAGCGGGACUUUUCCCACUGCUGCUGAUGCCCCAAAUGGUCUUCUUGCAGGAGGAGCAGCCUCAGCCGUUCCGUAGGUGAG